rnacentral:rRNA from 1 species
AGUGAACGCUGGCGGUAGGCCUAACACAUGCAAGUCGAACGGCAGCACAGUAAGAGCUUGCUCUUACGGGUGGCGAGUGGCGGACGGGUGAGGAAUACUUCGGAAUCUACUUUUUCGUGGGGGAUAACGUAGGGAAACUUACGCUAAUACCGCAUACGACCUACGGGUGAAAGCAGGGGAUCUUCGGACCUUGCGCGAUUGAAUGAGCCGAUGUCGGAUUAGCUAGUUGGCGGGGUAAAGGCCCACCAAGGCGACGAUCCGUAGCUGGUCUGAGAGGAUGAUCAGCCACACUGGAACUGAGACACGGUCCAGACUCCUACGGGAGGCAGUAGUGGGGAAUAUUGGACAAUGGGCGCAAGCCUGAUCCAGCCAUACCGCGUGGGUGAAGAAGGCCUUCGGGUUGUAAAGCCCUUUUGUUGGGAAAGAAAAGCAGCAGGUUAAUACCCCGCUGUUCUGACGGUACCCAAAGAAUAAGCACCGGCUAACUUCGUG